rnacentral:ncRNA from 1 species
GCCAUGAAUAUAAAUCUCAGUAAACGGCGGCUGUAACCAUAACGGUCCUAAGGUGAAUUUGUUGCCUUCUCUUUUGGUAACAAAAGAGCAAACAUUCAACCGUAUGCCGGAAUAUCCUCAAAAGACUUAAGGUGCACCAACUUUUUGUUGUAGCAAAAAUCCUUAGUACACGGGGACAAUCGGCAGGAAACCUUAAAAUUUAUUUUGAAAGGGAUCCUCAGAGACUAUACGUUGAAUAUCCUUAUAGUAGUAAUAAAAGAUGAAAAUCGAUAAGAAUUGAAUCGUAGGGUUUGUUGAUGGAGAAGGUUGCUUUUAUAUCGGUAUAAAUAAAUCAGUUGAUUCAAAAUUAGGUUAUCAAGUACUUCCUGAGUUUAGGGUCGUUCAACAUAAGCGUGACAUAAAGGUUUUAUAUGCUAUAAAAGACUUUUUUGGUCACGGCUCGGUUGUUUGUAACAAGUCUAAUGGCUCAGAAAUUUACGAAUACCGUGUUCGUAAAUUCGAGACUUUACACGACGUUAUACUUCCUUUUUUUGAAUCUAACGGGUUAUUAACGAGUAAGAAGUUUAAUUUUUUAGCAUUUAGAGACGUUAUAUUAAUAAUGAAAAGGCGUGAACAUUUAACCGAGUCUGGCUUGUCUAAAAUAAUUGAUAUAAAAAGUAGAAUGAACCGAUCUUCAAUUCAUUAUUAAAUUUUAUUUUUAAGGAUAAAGAAAUAGUCCGAACUUAGCAGAAAUGUUAAGAGUGCCAAUCAUUAAGCUGUUUCUAUUUAUAACAUAAAUAUAUAGCGCGCUAGAUUGUGCCAACAAAUUGAGCGAAAUUCCUUGUCGGGUAGAAUUGGAACUUGCCC